rnacentral:rRNA from 1 species
UACGAAGGGGGCUAGCGUUGCUCGGAAUUACUGGGCGUAAAGCGCGCGCAGGUGGGUGAACAAGUCGGAAGUGAAAUCUUGAGGCUCAACCUCGAGGCUGCUCCCGAAACUGUUCGCCUAGGGACUGGUAGAGGCUGGUAGAAUUCCCGGUGUAGCGGUGGAAUGCGUAGAGAUCGGGAAGAAUACCUGUGGCGAAGGCGGCCAGCUGGGCCAGAUCCGACACUGAGGCGCGAAAGCGUGGGGAGCAAACAGG